UUUCAUGGCUAUAUUGAAGGUUUCUCUCUCUCUCUCUUAAACUAUUGAGAAUUAGUUGGCACUAAUUACUUGAAUAUGUUUUCUUCAGCUUCUAAGUGAAGAGGUGUUUGAUUUCUCAAGAGGAGAGAUGACUCAAAGUAAGAUAAAGGAGCUUAAACAAUCAUUGAACAGUGAAUUUCAACUCAUUCAUGAGCUAUGCUUAUAUGUACUAUCAGCCUCUCAAAGAA